CUUCUAGAAGUACACAGUCUAAUGGUGAGAUAGGCAGGAGCCUGACAUCAUGGUGAGCAUCGAGAAAGGAAUAACCUAAGCUGAAGACACGCCUUUUCAGGAGGCCAAGUUCCACGUUCUGUGCAUGCUUUUGGCGAAAGUCAGGCUGUGGCUUGCCUUUUCACUUCUUGUGUCCUGUUUAAGAAAUAUCUGCUAUCCCAAGCAUCUGGCAUCUUUCUUGACAUAUGUAGCAGUUGCUUUUUGACAGCUUGCUUCUUCAGUGAAUGAAUAAAUUAAUAAAGAGAAAUGUGAUGUUCAGUGAUCCAUUUUGCAGAUUGCAAACUCCUAGAGAAGGGCUCAACAGUGAGUGCUGAGGCUGCACAGAGGAGGAAGGCAGCACAAUGAUGGAAGGCUUCCUAAAGAGAUAACACUAACAAAGUUGACCUUAGAAUUGGAGUGCCUGGGUUAGAACCCUGCUGGUACCACCUGCUUACUGCAUGCUUCUGAUGUGAGUUCAGGAGAAGACACUGGCAAGGACAGCAAAGAACAGGAGAACACUCUAGCUUCCCUGAUAGCAUUCAAGGUGCUGUCCAAACUGACUGUGAUGGCACCCUCCAGACAGACAGCGAUGCCACAUGUUCAAGAUGGCAGAAUCACUAUCAGCUUCAAUUCCUGAAUGACUGCAGAGCAAAAUUUCUUACCUGCAACAUACACUCUAUUUUCAGCCUCCCUGGACUGUUACAUAAUGAUACAUAAAAAUAUUUCUUGUGUUGAGGCAUCCCAAAUUUGAUUUAUUUGUCAUCACAGUCUAUCCUAUGAAUAUAUUUCUGAUCCAAA
rnacentral:lncRNA from 1 species